UACGAAGGGGCUAGCGUUGCUCGGAAUCACUGGGCGUAAAGGGUGCGUAGGCGGGUCUUUAAGUCAGGGGUGAAAUCCUGGAGCUCAACUCCAGAACUGCCUUUGAUACUGAAGAUCUUGAGUUCGGGAGAGGUGAGUGGAACUGCGAGUGUAGAGGUGAAAUUCGUAGAUAUUCGCAAGAACACCAGUGGCGAAGGCGGCUCACUGGCCCGAUACUGACGCUGAGGCGCGAAAGCGUGGGGAGCAA
rnacentral:rRNA from 1 species